rnacentral:rRNA from 1 species
GAGUUUGAUCGUGGCUCAGAUUGAACGCUGGCGGCAUGCCUUACACAUGCAAGUCGAACGGCAGCACGGGAGCUUGCUCCUGGUGGCGAGUGGCGAACGGGUGAGUAAUGCAUCGGAACGUAUCCUGGAGUGGGGGAUAACGUAGCGAAAGUUACGCUAAUACCGCAUAUUCUGUGAGCAGGAAAGCGGGGGACCUUCGGGCCUCGCGCUCUUGGAGCGGCCGAUGUCGGAUUAGCUAGUUGGUGAGGUAAAGGCUCACCAAGGCGACGAUCCGUAGCAGGUCUGAGAGGAUGAUCUGCCACACUGGAACUGAGACACGGUCCAGACUCCUACGGGAGGCAGCAGUGGGGAAUUUUGGACAAUGGGGGCAACCCUGAUCCAGCCAUGCCGCGUGAGUGAAGGAGGCCUU